rnacentral:misc_RNA from 1 species
UAGGCAAGUUUAAUGUCUUGUAAAUUAAUGAUGUUACUGGAAUUGGAUAGUAUGAUUUAGAACAUACAUCAAGCACUCAUUUUGCUUAAUUAACUUCAAAUCACUCCCAAUCUGCCUUUCCCAAAGUGCCUAACUUUAGGAAAGGGGAAAAAUACAGAUCACUUGUGCUGCAAUUCCACAACAUAAAUUUGUGAACAUUUUGUAGGGUAUAUAACUCUCUUACAAGUUAG